rnacentral:lncRNA from 1 species
GAGAAUGAGAGCAAGGAGAGCAUAUUUAUAAGAAACUUUCGAUAUUGGUAGGUGGGAAUGUUACGACCAAUUUAUGCCACCAUAAACUUUACUACUAAUUUACAACUACAUUCCUCGUAAUAAGGUUGUUAAUUAGAUGGAAAACAUUAGAUGUAAAAUAGACGUAAUUUACCGACGUGUUUACGACGAAACCAGUGGUCGUCGUAAUCUAGUCGUAUAAUUAUGAAUAAUUUACGACGAAGACUUUUCGUAGCAAUUCUACUACUAGGUCGUCGUUAAAAAGACGUUACUUUACGACUAAUUUAUGACGAAAACAUUUGGUAGCAAAUUUACGUCUACUUUACGACGACAUCAUAUUUCGUCGUAACGUCAACGUAAACAUGAUG